ACCCCGAUUUUUACCGCAUUAGCAAGUAGUAGUGGGGAAUUUUAAGAGCCGCAUGAGUCAGAGAGUGCAGUUCGCACAUCGAUUUAAAUACGGCACACACACAUACACUAACACUCUACUUAAAUGUGCGAGUGUGUGUGUGUUUACGCCCACGCCUUAAAUUAUUGACCAAAAUUUAAAAUAGGGAAAGACAUUGCUGAAAAAUAUUGCCGAAAUACAUUUUCAACACGAGGCCAAGUGCUGCCUGCUUAACCUUUGAUGAAUGAACAGAGGAACAAAAAGAACAUAACCAAGCUGAGGAGCAGAGAGAAACGGCAGCGGAAAGAAAAGAAAAGCAAAGAGAACCUACAACAAAAAUUCAUCAUGAACGAGUUCAACAGCAGCCGUUCGUUUGUUCUCGUUGCUGCGCAUUGGUAUGCGUGUUGGCCCGUGUUUGUGUGUGUGUUUGUAAAUUUGUGAAAAAGAAAAGCAACCAUAAAAUGUUUGCACGCUACCGCAGAAAAUAAUCAGCAGAUUGUCUCUCUCUUGACCAAAAAAUGUUUGACAUACGUUUCACUGCUGCAGCAACAAAAACAAGAGCAGCUAGGAAGAAGCAGAAGCGGCACUGGCGUUGCCAGACCGGCAAUUGACAUCUUUGUCACGCUGCCCAAAAGAGAAUUCGCGAAAGCAGUCGAAAAAAAAUUAUGUACAUGUCUUGCAUUAGCAUUUCGCAAACGUGCUUGUUUGCUAGACAAAGAAAUACAUAGGCAUUUACGCAUACUAUGGCAAGCCAGCGAGCAGUCGAACAGCUGAUAAAUCAUUCACACACACUAUCAAGCGAAUAGGGCUAGCACACACAAACAGCCUUCCGGUGUGUAUGAGAGAAAGAGAGCGACGCUGCAACAACAAUUGCGUGUAGCACAAAUAUGUGCGAUCAAUUCGAUUCGAGGUAUUUCUGUGGAGCGGCAUGCGUGGAUUUAGUUUGAAAUAUAAAUACUUGUUCGUUCAACUACAAUAAUAAAUCACUCGGUUAUUCUGAUAA